AAGUGGAAACAGCUGCUUCGCAGAUCGAGCAGGAGCAGGAGCCGGUGAUGGAUGAUGAUUAUAGCGAUGAGGAGAUUGAUGUGGAUGAGCUGGAGAGGAGAAUGUGGAGGGACAAGAUGAAGCUGAAAAAGCUGAAAGAAAUGACUAAGGAGGGUAAGGAAGGUGUCGACGCUGUCAAACAACGCCAAUCUCAGGAGCAAGCGAGGAGGAAGAAGAUGUCGAGGGCACAAGAUGGGAUCUUGAAAUACAUGUUGAAGAUGAUGGAAGUGUGUAAAGCUCAGGGUUUUGUUUAUGGGAUUAUCCCGGAGAAAGGGAAACCAGUUACCGGGGCAUCUGAUAAUCUCAGGGAGUGGUGGAAGGAUAAAGUGAGGUUCGAUCGAAAUGGACCUGCAGCCAUAGCUAAGUACCAAGCUGAUAAUGCGAUUCCGGGCGAGAAUGAGGGAUCUAAAUCGAUUGGUCCUACCCCUCAUACUUUGCAGGAGCUUCAAGAUACCACUCUUGGUUCUUUAAGAAAUGACUAAGGGGGGUAAGGAAGGUGUCGACGCUGUCAAACAACGCCAAUCUCAGGAGCAAGCUAGGAGGAAGAAGAUGUCGAGGGCACAAGACGG
rnacentral:lncRNA from 1 species